rnacentral:rRNA from 1 species
GGGUUGUGAGGUUAAGCGACUAAGCGUACACGGUGGAUGCCCUGGCAGUCAGAGGCGAUGAAGGGCGUGCUAAUCUGCGAUAAGCGCCGGUAAGGUGAUAUGAACCGUUAUAACCGGCGAUACCCGAAUGGGGAAACCCAGUGUGAUUCGUCACACUAUCAUUAACUGAAUCCAUAGGUUAAUGAGGCGAACCGGGGGAACUGAAACAUCUAAGUACCCCGAGGAAAAGAAAUCAACCGAGAUUCCCCCAGUAGCGGCGAGCGAACGGGGAGGAGCCCAGAGCCUGAAUCAGCAUGUGUGUUAGUGGAAGCGUCUGGAAAGGCGCGCGAUACAGGGUGACAGCCCCGUACACAAAAGCGCAUGUGCUGUGAGCUCGAUGAGUAGGGCGGGACACGUGGUAUCCUGUCUGAAUAUGGGGGGACCAUCCUCCAAGGCUAAAUACUCCUGACUGACCGAUAGUGAACCAGUACCGUGAGGGAAAGGCGAAAAGAACCCCGGCGAGGGGAGUGAAAAAGAACCUGAAACCGUGUACGUACAAGCAGUGGGAGCACAGGUUUACCUGUGUGACUGCGUACCUUUUGUAUAAUGGGUCAGCGACUUAUAUUCUGUAGCAAGGUUAACCGAAUAGGGGAGCCGUAGGGAAACCGAGUCUUAACCGGGCGUUAAGUUGCAGGGUAUAGACCCGAAACCCGGUGAUCUAGCCAUGGGCAGGUUGAAGGUUGGGUAACACUAACUGGAGGACCGAACCGACUAAUGUUGAAAAAUUAGCGGAUGACCUGUGGCUGGGGGUGAAAGGCCAAUCAAACCGGGAGAUAGCUGGUUCUCCCCGAAAGCUAUUUAGGUAGCGCCUCGUGAAUUCAUCUCCGGGGGUAGAGCACUGUUUCGGCUAGGGGGCCAUCCCGGCUUACCAACCCGAUGCAAACUGCGAAUACCGGAGAAUGUUAUCACGGGAGACACACGGCGGGUGCUAACGUCCGUCGUGAAGAGGGAAACAACCCAGACCGCCAGCUAAGGUCCCAAAGUCAUGGUUAAGUGGGAAACGAUGUGGGAAGGCCCAGACAGCCAGGAUGUUGGCUUAGAAGCAGCCAUCAUUUAAAGAAAGCGUAAUAGCUCACUGGUCGAGUCGGCCUGCGCGGAAGAUGUAACGGGGCUAAACCAUGCACCGAAGCUGCGGCAGCGAACGUAUCACUUAAAGCGAUUCAGCGGGUUACGAUUGACGGAGCGAAGCGACGUCAAAGCGUAUACAAAGUCGAGUCGGUUUAAGGAUACGUUCGUUGGGUAGGGGAGCGUUCUGUAAGCCUGUGAAGGUGUGUCGUGAGGCAUGCUGGAGGUAUCAGAAGUGCGAAUGCUGACAUAAGUAACGAUAAAGCGGGUGAAAAGCCCGCUCGCCGGAAGACCAAGGGUUCCUGUCCAACGUUAAUCGGGGCAGGGUGAGUCGACCCCUAAGGC